rnacentral:lncRNA from 1 species
CUUUUUUAUUCUAGAGGUGCUUUUCUCCUAUUUGUGCUUUUACCCUUCUUAGAAUCUGGUGUCUGUUAAACUUCAUCUGCGGACCAAGAAGGAAGGGACAACAAAAAUAGGAAGGAUUGACUCAGACCAGGAACAGGACAUUGUCCUGCAGGGUCAGUGGAUUGAGAGAGACCACUGCACUAUCACCAGUGCCUGUGGUGUAGUUGUUCUCCGACCUGCCCGUGGGGCCCGCUGUACAGUCAAUGGCCGGGAGGUCACUGCCUCCUGCCGUCUGACUCAAGGUAGGACUGUCUGUAGCCCUGUUUAUCCCAAGAUGAGUGAUGGACCAGCUCCAGUUUCAUGGGCCCAAAGAGCUCAGUGAAGCAGGCUUUAAAAAUGGAUCACCCAGCCUCUGCACCCUGAAGUCUGAAGAUUUUCUAAUAUGAUCCUAUUCCCAUAAACAAGCCUUAAUUCCAAAGUCUUGGAGUGAAGAAUGACUGUAUGAAAUUUGUACCUGUGUUCAUUAGCUCUGUCUCCCUAGGAAAGUCUCUGAGCCUCAACUUUCCUCAUCUAUAAAAUGGGGAUAAUAAUAGGAUCAUUGUGAGGAUUGAAUGAACCUUAUAGUUCUUAACAGUGUGCUUUGCACUCCGUAAACACUCAUUAUCAUUAUUACUUUAAUUACCGCUACUGUUAUUAAUCUAUGCAAAUUCUGUCUGUCCUUUUGAGACUGAGCUGAGAUUCCUCCUCUUCCAUCAAGUGUUCCCUGACUACUCCACCUGGAACUCAACUUCCUUUCCCUUGGAAUAGUAGAGUUCUUCCUGUCUGUCUUAUUAAUUCAAGAUGUACGCUGUGAGAUGCAGAAUUAAUACGUAUCUUAUCAACUCAGCAAAAUUAUCAGUUAUCGAGGGCAUGACUUUGUCUCACAGAGCAGUGCCGUACACAUAGUAUGUACUCCAAAACAUGAGCUGUUGAUUGAAUUCUCAUUUGUCUCUGUGCUGCAGGAGCUGUCAUAACCCUGGGGAAGGCACAGAAGUUCCGAUUCAACCACCCAGCAGAGGCUGCUGUCCUGCGGCAGCGAAGGCAGGUUAGCAGGGCUGUGUUUUCUAGGUUAUUGCUGGCCUCCCUGUUUCCACUUUUUAGAUGAAAAGCCAAGCUGGGAGAGGUGGAGGUGAUGACAGCAGCCUCACUGUGCUUUCUUCCUUGUUCAAGGUUGGAGAGGCUGCUGCUGGUCGUGGCUCAUUGGAGUGGCUGGAUUUGGAUGGAGAUCUCGCUGCCUCCCGGCUGGGUCUCUCCCCUUUGCUUUGGAAGGAAAGGUAAGAAAUAGCUGCUUAUACUGAUGUGGAACCUACUGGGUUCGCUUCUUAGUCCAUGACAGCAUGGAUCAGGGUGGGGGUGGGGGGUGAUUAAUGUAGCAGCCAAGGUCUGAAUGAGCCCUUGUCUGAAUCAACUUGGGCAAGUCAUUUGAUGAUGCUGAACUAGCUGCUAAGUUCGUAGUUGGCAGGGAAUUGGUCUUGGCCCUUGUUCAUUUCCUCUUUGGUAUUUCAACUUUUUUCAUCACUGAAAGAGGUACAUUAUUUGAUGUUCCUGUGGCCACUUUUCUCUCUCCACAAAAUUUAGCUGUGCUGUGUUUGUGGACAUCUUUGUUCUGAGCUUACCUUCCUAUAUACUCC